GACCUCUUAGGUAGCUUAGUGGUUUGAGCGUCCGCCUCGGAUGCGGGAGGUGGUGGGUUUGAUCCAAGGCCGAGUCA